UUCACUUUCCACUAAUUCACUGAUGGCUGCUCAAGUGAGCAGUUUCUAACAAACCUGCACAGGUGAACUCAAAUGGCUUCACUGCCCCCUGAAUUGGCACACUGUCUCUUCCACCUGAGGAAGGAAGAGGACGAGGAGUACAUGGCUCUUACCUAAGAGAACAGCAAGAUAGCAAAAACACUUCUGUAUUUUAAGACUCUGUGCUGGGCCAGUGUGAUGUCUUGAACCACUUCCCUCUGACACACUCUUCUGCCAUGAUGUUCUGCCUUACUUGGAACCCCCAGGAAUGGAGCCAGCUGACUAUGGACUAAAAUCUCUGAAACCGUGAGGCCCAAAAUAAACUUUUCCUGCUCUAUUAA